GGGGGCGACAGGUUUCGACGGCAGGCGGGCGGUUUAAGUGGCAUGUCGAGAACGCCGGAGGGCUCGUUAAAAUGCCGGCACGCCAUAACUGGCACAAACAACUACGCUCUGGCGGCCUAACUUUAGGCGCCAUGUCGUUGUCGGUCUCCGCCUAUCUGGCCGGCAAACGGCAUCGCAACGAUGGGCUGGCCCAGGACCCCGCCCCGGGGAACUGGGCGAGAUCUCAGGGGCUGCUCCCCGGAUGACCGCGUCUAUGCGGGCCCCGGGGAAAAGAUAAAACGUAGACUAAGCAUGUAGAGGCUUAGGCCGUUCCUUGUUCGGACGUGGGUUCGAAUCCCACCGCCUCCACCA
rnacentral:tmRNA from 1 species